rnacentral:rRNA from 1 species
UACGAAGGGAGCUAGCGUUGUUCGGAAUCACUGGGCGUAAAGCGCACGUAGGCGGAUUUGCCAGUCAGGGGUGAAAUCCCGGGGCUCAACCUCGGAACUGCCUUUGAUACAGCAAGUCUUGAGUUCGAGAGAGGUGGGUGGAAUUCCUAGUGUAGAGGUGAAAUUCGUAGAUAUUCGCAAGAACACCAGUGGCGAAGGCGGCUCACUGGCCCGAUACUGACGCUGAGGUGCGAAAGCGUGGGGAGCAAACAGG